GAUCCUGGCCUUACAGUCCGUACCUGAGUGGCUCGCGCAAAGUGCGGAAUCAAAGCUCCUGUGUCUGACUGGUUGGCAGAACUGCUGGUCCCAGGCCGACACCACCUCACUGACAAGUGAUUAUGGAAUAGAUGGGAAUAAAUCAAAAGUUAAAGAUGGCCAGCCCUCGAAGUGAGGAGAGUGGAAAAUUUUCAGCUGACCCUUAUCUGAUUUUGGACCUGCCAUCUUGCUCCUGCUAGUACGAAUAAGUUUAGAAAAUAAGGG